GCGCCCAUCGUCUAGCGGUCAGGACGCCGCCCUCUCACGGCGGUAACACGGGUUCGAGUCCCGUUGGGCGUGCCA
rnacentral:tRNA from 13 species